UCUGGACUGACUUGGCGAGGUGACAAAAUCAAGCCAGAACCAGACCAAAGGCCUUUUAUAUCAAAUACUUUUCAACCUGUUCUGUUCUCUCAGACUAGCAGGAACACGUGGAAACUGGAGGUGGACAAGUGCAAAUGAGAAAGAAGAGGCACCGUGAACUCCAGACUGGGAGAUCACAGGUUCCAACUUGCCCCUAUCUGAAGGAGCUUGCAUGAUUAUUGGUGGAAAAGUGCUGUUUCUACGUAAGCCAAUCGGGGCAAGUAGAGGCUGAUCUACACCUCUUAAAAGACAAGUGAUAAGGAAGACCCCCAUCUAUUACCUGGCUUCUGCAAUCAUGCUUACCAAUUGCAUCAGCCAGCUGAGACCCCACCCCUCAGACCACCGGAACCUAAUAAAAGUGGGAAAAAAAACAGGUAGACGGGGCUCAGAAUUU